GGUUCAAUGGUCUAAUGGUUAUGAUUUCUGUCUCACAUAUACUUAGUGAGUCCAGGUUGUGCACAGAAGGUUCCCAGUUCGAUCCUGGGUUGAACCA